rnacentral:SRP_RNA from 1 species
GCCGGGUGCGGUGGCGCGCGCCUGUAAUCCAAGUUACCGGGAGGCUGAGGCUGGAGGAUAGUUUGAGCUCAGGAGCUCUGAGCUGCAGCGGACUAUGCCGAUCGGGUGUCCGCACUAAGUUCGGUAUCGAUAUGGUGCUCCUGGGGGAGCCCGGGACCACCAGGUCGUCUAAGGAGGGGUGCACCGGCCCAGGUCGGAGACGGAGCAGGUCAAAGCCCCCGUGCCGCUCAGUAGUGGGAUCGCGCCUGUGAAUAGACGCUGUAGUGCAGCCUGAGUAAUACAGCGGGACCCAGUCUUU